GACGAACCGAGCGAACGUUGUUCGGAAUCACUGGGCAUAAAGGGCGCGUAGGCGGGCGUUCAAGUCCGGGGUGAAAUCCUCCAGCUCAACUGGAGAACUGCCUCGGAUACUGGAUGUCUCGAGGGAGGUAGGGGUGUGUGGAACUGUCGGUGGAGCGGUGAAAUGCGUUGAUAUCGACAGGAACUCCGGUGGCGAAGGCGACACACUGGACCUCAUCUGACGCUGAGGCGCGAAAGCCAGGGGAGCAAACGGG
rnacentral:rRNA from 1 species